rnacentral:snRNA from 1 species
UGAUGUGAGGGCGAUCUGGCUGUGACAUCUGUCACCCCACUGAUCACCAGGGUUGAUUCAGCUGCUCUGGCUGGCUAGGCAGGUGUCCCCAUCCUCCCUCACCUUCCUUCCUGAAGCUGUGCUGUUGGUGGAAGAGGACAGAUGGCCUUCCCCAAUAGAGACUGACUGGUCUUCGGGGGCGGGGGGAGGCAUACAAGCUGCGCUCCCCUGCUAGAACCUCCAAAUGAGCUCUCAAGACUUGUGAGAAAUAUGGUGGUUAUAGCUGGGAGGU